UGGUGGAGUGAUUUGUCUGCUUAAUUGCGAUAACGAACGAGACCUUAACCUGCUAAAUAGCCCGUAUUGCUUUGGCAGUACGCUGGCUUCUUAAAGGGACUAUCGGCUCAAGCCGAUGGAAGUUUGAGGCAAUAACA
rnacentral:rRNA from 1 species